rnacentral:RNase_P_RNA from 1 species
AGAGCAAAUCAGCUUAUCGCUAUUCUUAUAGAGGAAAGUCUGGACACCGUAGAGCAGCAUAGCGGGUAACGCCCGUCCACCGUAAGGUGAGGACAAGUGCAACAGAAAGAAUGUAUGGGUAAUGCCAUAGUGAAAUCAGGUAAACUCUAUGUGGUGCAACGCCGCGUAAACUAACAUUUAUAGGGUAGCUCGCCCAAAGUUAGGGGGUAGGCGGUUUGAGCUUGUAAGUGAUUGCAAGCCAAGAUAAAUGAUAAGCACUUACCUUAGGGUAAGCACAGAAUCCGGCUUAUGAUUUGCUCUUUUU